UCUUAUGCAUAUACUUUCCUAAAAAUAUCGAUUGACUUUGUCUCCCUCCUCUCCUGGGACAUUCGUGUUAGCAGAAGGCCGAGGGAUAACCUGGGAAAGAUGAAAGCUUUUGAGCCAAACAGGUCUGGUUGGAGUCUAGCUGUGUUGUUCCCCUAUGCUACCCCUGAUAAAUUAUGGAAUGUCUCCCAGAUGAUUUUCUCAUCUUGGUGCGGUUGGGAGAUGAGGAAAAGCACACAGCGCGUUGGAGGUACAGCGCAUGCUCUUAGAUGGGGGGCUCCUGCCAUCGUUAUCUCCUUAUUUGAUUUUGUGACCUCCCAGAUUUACAUUUGAUAAUUCAGAUUUAAUUCUUUGACCUUCUUCAUUUAUGCUUCUUUCAUUUUGUUCUCCCUGCUAUUUAUUUAUGUAUUCAUUUGUUUAUUUGAUCUGUUACCCUUAACUCCACCUUAUGUCCUGUCUGUCAUGGCUUGUUGCAUAGAAGAAUAGAUGGUCAUUCUUUCACAGUUUGGGAGGUUGAGAGUGCGAAAUCAAAGUGCUGACCCCUUCCUGAGGCCCUAGGCAAGGGUCCCUCUUGCUUCUGUCUAGCUUCCGGUUCUGGCCAGCAAUCUUUAGAGGUUUUCAGCAUGUAGCUGUAGCACCCCCAUCUUUGCCUCCACCCCAUUUGGUCUUCUUUGUGUGUAUUUCAGUGUCUCUUCUUGAAAGGACACCGGUGAUUAGAUUUAAUGCUUCAGCAAUCUAAUAUGCUACAAUCUUAACUUGAUUACAUCGACAAAGACCCUACUUCUGAAGGAAAGUCAUAUUCACAGGUCCUUGGGGUUCCAUACAGUCCUUGGAAUUAGAAUUUCAUCAUGUCUAGAGGAAGGACACACUUCAACUGACAACUGAAGGAGAAAGAAUUGGGUGGGGUAAGUUAUCUGUGUGAUGUUCAGGUGCCUGAAGCAUUUGAUGGUCACGCGGCUGUCUACUGCAUUAGCCUUCCCUGUGAAUCAUGUGGUUACAGAAACUGGAGCUGAGGUUGAAGUAAGUUGACAGAACGUGUCUGGGCUUGAUGACAAACAUUUGCUGUAUUGGAAAGAGACAACUGCAGCAUGCCAGUUAGUCUUCUGAACAGCUUUGGGCAGAUGACAGGAGGGGCCAAGAUGGGUGUCAACAGUGAGCAGUUAAAUUAGCCCUCAUGAAUAGUGAUGGUUUUAUGUUUUACUCUAUCAUAUUAGUGCUAGUUGGUCUUUCUAUCCUUUGUCUUUUAGAAGACUUCUGUUAUUUUGCUAUUGUCUUUCCUUUUUAAAAUACUGUCUUUUAAAUUUUUAUUUCUUUUCAUACACAAUCUUGCUAUGUGCUAAGGUUGACCUUGUACUCAUGGUCCUCCUACCUCAUGCUCCCAGGGGUUAGAAUGGCAAGUGUGAACACCAUUCCCAGUUUACUUUCUCUCUUUAAUUUAGAAAGUAUAAGAAGAGCAUGUUCAGUAUGUCUGAAUAUAUUUAUCACAUGCGUGUGCAUUUGUGUUAGUAUGGUGCAUAGGGUUACAUUUUACUAUAUCUUGGGAAUGCCAUGCAUCUUGUGUUUUCUUGUUCCCUAAAGCAGUGUUGAAUAGUCUCAAACAACACAACAAACACACAUCAGAAACAUUUAAAGAAGGGUACACUUUUAUGCACUAGUUGGUUUGAACCACCAGCAUAGCAGACAUAUUGGGAGCUUUGGGUGGCUAGAAUCUGUGCCCUGUAGUUGUUUGGCUGAUAGAAUAGGACAUGUGUGAACCUCUGGUCCAAGCAUAAGAAGAUGGCAGCUUUUACUCUCUGUUUCCAGGGAUGCGUGCUCUUGGGAUCUCGCCAUGGAGAUUUAAAGAGCACUUGGAAGUCUCGAGACAAGCCCAUGACCAAAAGGUAGAAAUCCUCGAGAUGGGUGGCUACAUGACCAACCUGUGUAGGAUGGGGGCUCCGGAAAAUCGCAACAUGGAGAAGCUCUUCGACCAGCUCACCAUGGCAGACAGCAUCAAGGAGAAGUGAAGAGGGACUGUCCCGGCUUGGGUGAGGUCUUCCUAAACUCUUCAGGCAAGAUGCUCACACUAUAUUUCUGGAAGUCUCCCUAGUCUUUCUGUUUGGCAUACUUCAUAAUAAAUUCGUUUGUUUCUAAGUAGAAAAAAAAGCAUGCAGCUGUCAGUUCUAUCUUUCUACUACAGGGAUCAAACUCAGGCGUCAGGCUUAAGCACGAGUGCCUUUACCUGCCGAGCCAUCUUGCCAACCUGUCUUUAUUUUUUUAGGUUUAUUUAUAUUUCAGAAAUCUCCUUGUCUAGAUCAGUGGAUCCAUCUAUCUAUCUAUCCAUGUGUCUGUCCAUCUAUCCAUCCAUGUGUCUGUCCAUCCAUCCACCCAUCCAUCCAUCCAUCCAUCCAUCCAUCCAUCCAUCUAUCCAUCCACCUUUCAACCAUUCUCCAGUCAUAUAAUUUUAGUAUUCUCCUAUACCUUACUAUCUCUAAAGGGGAAUUACUCCAUGAGGAAUUCAGCUCAUCCCUCUUUUUCUAAUCCUUUGUCUCACGUUUACUCUCUGGGUAUAUAUUCCAAAAUUGUUGGUACUUCCCUCACACUAUUGAGAUGUCUGAGGGUUUUUUUUUUCUUUUUUCUUUUUUUCGGAGCUGGGGACAGAACCCAGGGCCUUGUGCUUGCUAGGUAAGCGCUCUACCACUGAGCUAAAUCUCCAACCCCUGAGGGUUUUUUUAAAAUGUUCACAUUGGAAGAAUGUCAUAUCCAACCUUGACCUGCAAAACAGAAUUGACACAAAAUUAUUUUUGCGUGUUUACAUACCUCCCCUGGAAGAGAAGUGGUUCUGUCUCCUAGCAUCUAAAUGAUGAUGAAGAUAGCUAUGAAGCUACCCCAAUCACACCGCAGGCUCUCUGCCUCACUAUCUCUCUGGCAAGUGUGGGGAGAAUCCCAGCAGAAAUCUCCCCCUGCGGUGUCUGCAUGAUACCCUCCCUCACCGACAGAGCUUGACCUCUCUUAUCUUCCGAGAGGCCCAAGAGGAAGAUAAAAUUGACAAACUGCUAGCAUGUUCUGCUUCGCUUCUCUGGCUGGACCACCCCACCCUUCUUUGCUCCUUUCCUUCUUCAUUACUCUGCUUCAGUUGUCAGCCCUGCCCAGCCUCCCUCUUCAGUGUUCCCAUCUGCUGUUGACUGUGGAUGCUCUCCAGAUCUCUUGGGGAAUCUGGGGGGAAGCAGGACCCAGCUCAUCUGACUUUCACACCCUAUUCAUUUCUCCUGCUGACUUUGAAGUUCCUGCUUUCCCUCUGGCUAUUUGGGAACUUUGUCCCCAAUGGACUUAUUUCACUCUCCCCCACUCCCCAAGUUUGUUUCACUGUUGAAUUGGGUCUUACAUUAGUUCAUUAACUCUAAAUUACUUCCUUACUGUCUGCCCUUACCAAACAGGAGACCUAUUUCCUGUUCUUGCUUUUCCUUAAAAACAAACAAAAAACUUAAUCUUUAAAUUACUUUUAAUUCUGUGUGUGUGUGUAUGUGUGUGUGUGUGUGUGUGUGUGUGUGUGUGUGUGUGUUUGUGAACAUAUGUGCACUUGAGUGCAGGUGCCCAUGAGCCCAGACUUCUUAGACCCCCUGGAGUUAGAGUUCCAGAAGGUUGAGAACCACUAACGUGGUGGUGCUGGGAACUGAACUUGGGUCUUCUGGAAGAGUAGUACGUUUUCUUAACCAAUGAACAACCUCUCUAGCCCCUCUCUUCUCUUCCUCUGCAGUGUACAUUCUAGAAGAGGCAAUACACUUACACAGCAUACAGAUCCCCAGUUCUAAGUCAUUAUUGUCUGGUGGCCUGUUUUCUGUUCUUCAGUAUUAGAGAGCUGGGCUAGGAAGGCUAGGGAUGUUGCUCAGUGGUAGGGCCCUUGCCUAGCAUGGGUAUAAAAAGUAUAAAAGACUUGUAGUGCUAAUCAUUCUGACUUGAGAUGAUUGUAGUCAACUUACUUUUUUUUUUUUUUAGUUUUCUUCAUUUUAUUGCUUUUCAUACUCCUCAAAAGAAUUUUUAAAGCUAAACAUAGAAUAUUUUGAAAUUAUAAUGCGUGACUCAGCAAAAAAUGUUAUAAUAAAAGUUCACAAAUGUAUGGCAACUGUGUGAAAACAGUGCUAUGGGGAGAUUGAGGUUCCCUUUUGGGUUCUAAAUCUUGUUAAUAAAACAAAACAGACUGAGAAGGAAGCUGGAGGACUACUUUAUUAGAGCUUGAGAGGACACUAAGAACAAAAUCCCCCAAACAGCUGCCUGGAGAGGGUGAUACAGAGAGAACCAGGCCUUUUAAAAUAGGCGUGAAGGGAAGACAGGGUGACAUCCCAGGGUGUCCAGGAGGUUGCUUUAGCCUAAGAGAAUAUCUGAAAAAGAGAUACAGAGAUGAAGGAAAGACCAAACAAGCAAACAAAUAUCUCCCCCUCCAAAAAACCCAAACAACCCACCCUCAAAAAACCAAAAACAAACCACGCUCAGGGCCAGGUGCUGGAUCUGAGGCCACCCAAAUCCAGGCUCCCGUGUCCCAGGACGAGACAUAGAGUUAGAAACAAGACAGUUCUUAAGGCAGGGAGAGCACUCAGAAGCUGACUAUUGCGCUCAGGGCAAAAGCUCCCAAAGCCCUGCCUCUCUUCAGGGCGUGGCCUUCACAGGUCUUUCAGGUAAUGCUACCCUUCCCAUUUGGAGGUUCAAAGUCUUUUCUCAUGUAAUAUUUCGCUCUGUAUGUGAAGCCCAGGUGAGGAACGGCUGUCCAGUCUUUCUCUGCCAAUUGGUUUCUCUUGUGCUAAUCUUGAGGCUUCCAUCUCCAGCCUCCAAUCUCCUGCCACAGUGUACGGUGGCUGGGUCAAGAAAGUAACUUCUGCGGAUAUUAAUAUACGGAGAAGAACAUUUCAUGUUUUCAUACGUAGGACAACAUCGAAGGAGAAGAUAUGGAGGCGCUCUUGUUUCGUCUCAGGAAGAUGGUACUGCCUUUUUGUUAUGAUUCUAAUAUUAUACCAGCUAACCCAUUCUUGGGUGGGAUACAUAAAAUUCUCUCAUGAAGCAAGGUGACUUAUGUUCCCAAUUAAACACACCACUGAUAGUGAGAUCCCAAUAAUUCAUAGUGUCUGGUCCCAGGAAUCUGGCUGGGCACAUGCCUAAGUGUAAAAUCCGGAGGCUUGCAUCUGCUGAUUUUCUGCAAGUGGAGCUGUGUUCAGUCUGCUGUGUUGACAACAGACCCAGGACCAAUAGGCAGUUGUAUUAAUUUAUUAUAAGUCGAGUUGCUUUUGCCUCUGGGCGUUCCUGUGUUCAACUGGUGUUUAAAAAAAAAAAGCCAGUGUUGCCUUCAUGUCCUCUCCACUAGCAGCUUCGGUUAGUCACAGAUCCUGUGAUCUUGGUGGGUCUGCUCCCACUCCUUGCUUUUCUCUCAGAACCACAUGGCUUUUGAAGGAGUCAGAUCACAGCUCCAACCUAAAUGGCCCAGCAUCAUCAAAGCCUGGCUCUCUGAGGAAAUGACCCUUGUUUGUUGCUGGAGGUCAUAUUGCUGCAAAAGGGAAUAGGACCUAGAAGGCAGCUUGGCAGAGACAGAGCAUGAGAAGGAGAGAAGGGUUUGUGCCUGCGUUCGUGUGUACAUGCAUGUGGUGUGCAUAUGUGUGGUGUGUGUGUGCCAUAUGCACCUGGUCAUGUAGUCAAAAUGCAGCAGAUUGUGAGUGACAUUUCCCAAAUCCAAGAAACAUACAUUUCAUUCUAAGGAUAAGGGACUCUCGCUGACUUUAGAGAAAGGACUAGCCCUAUCUGGUUUCAAUCAGAGCCAUUGAGAAGACAGCAAGUUUCCAGUUUCCCGUGUUUUCUUGGCUUGCAGUGAGUGUUCAGAGCACAACUGUAUCUUGUAUGCUUCUGAGAAGGGAAACUUGAAUGCCAGAAUCCUCCUGGCUGGGUUGGGCAUUGCUGUCCACCCUGGGUUUUGUAUUCCAGACCUCACCCAACUGGAUUAUAUUUUUAGCUUCUAGUCUCCUUCCACACAAGCCUGAUGAUUUUAAAUUUAAAGAAACGUGAUCAGGAACCAGUUCUCCAGCUCCUCAGAAACUCUCACUUGCAGAGAUCUGGGGAGCCAGAAUCAAGCUUCAGAUCUUUGCCUUGAGGUAGGCAACAAGUUAUAACCCCUGUGUGGGGAGGAAUUAAUGACAGCUAGAUUCCAAGAAGGCCAAACACUGUGAAGCCAUAAAUUUUUCCAAGUAGUGAAAAUGUGAGCUCCAUAACCCAGUGGAGAAAAACAGUUUAUUUAAAAGUCUACCCACAGAUUUGAAGUGAAGAAAACAAAAUUCGACCAUAAAAGAUGUGCUUUUGUCCUGGGUCAAGAUUUAUUUUUCAGUCAACUCAUGAUCAUUAACUUGAUGAGUUUCUUGGUGAGAUGGGGAAUAGAUCUGAGUGUUCGUUUAAGGUCAUAGAAGGGUCUAGAAACUCAAGAGCAAGAAGUUGGCUUUUCCAAGGGUGCCUUUGAAAACUCAAGUCUUGUGCAGUAUUUUUCUAUUGGCUUUUCUGGGUAGUUUUUAAAACAGCAGCAGCAGGAGGAGGAUCUUAUUAUGUAUCCCAGGCUGGCCUCUGACUUGAAAUUCCUCUGCCCCAGCAGCUCCCAAAUUCAGGGAUUACAAAUGUGUGCCAUGAGGCCUGGAUGGUAUUUUUCCUUUCUCUCCAUGUUGUGUAUAUCUAAGUUAAAUUCAUUUACUUACUUUCAUCCAGUAUGGGAAGGGAUUUUUGACACUAGAUUCUGCUCAUACUGGAUGUUGAAGUGUCCUGCCUUUUUCUCAAAUGUUUGGAUGCUUAUCUUCAGUUUAGGAACUGAGCUGGUAUCCUGAGGCCCACAGAGCUUUCUAGUUGCCCUGUCCCAUCUAAGAACUGACAGAAAGUCAUGCUCAGUUUGGCUAGGUCCAGCUCAAGUCUUCUUUCCUGACUGUGUGAUGCUGGUAAGACACUUAAUCUCGCCGAGCAUCUCAGUGCCUCAUCUGUAAAGAGGGUGGUCAUUUAAAAAACAUUGAGCAGAACUAAUAAAAUAAAAAUAGAUACAAGGAGGGUAGCUUCAUAACAUAAACUCCAGGGAUUAAACAACUUCAGAUCAUUAAUGUAGACGUUUCUAUCUUCCUGUCUUGACCUACCUGAUUUGUUUCUCAGUAUCCAUGGGAAGAUUGGACCCAGGACCUUCAGGGAUAUCCAAGUCAAUAGAUGCUCAAGUCCCUUAUGUGAAAAGGCAUGGGGCAGUGAUUGCCUAUAACCUGCACUCCUCUUUCUCUGUCAUCAAAUGCGAUACACACAGGAGUGUCUCCUGCCUUUCUCAGCCAAUCCAUCUUUUCUUCUCUCUUUCCCUCUGCUGGACCCCACUUGCGGGAGACACUUUUUUCUCCCCUGGUGACUGGAGGAGUAGGCCUGAACAUGCCACUGAGACUCUAUACUGGGUUAACUGAGACGAGAAGACCUGUACUGACUGGACUUGGCACCAUUCCGUGGGCUGAAUCCCGCACUCAGUGAAGAGGAUGAGGUGAGAUGAGUCUUCAUCAGUCUCUGGUUCUAUGGACACGACAUGGCCAGCCAUCUCUCCAUCCUACCUCCUUGCUUUCCCUGGAUCAUAGCCUGUGUCCUGGAACUGGUCUUUCAUGAUAUUGCUUUAUUACACAUAUCUGAUCACAUCGAUGAGGAAAGUUACCAAUAUGCCCACCGUUCUGGAAUGAAUGAUGGUAGUUGGGUUCGCCCUCCUGAGCCUGUUAUAUGACUAUAUUAGGAGAUGGCAGUGCCUGGAGGGUUGUCUCCAUGGUCCAACAUCUAUUUCUUUAGUAAAUGGGAGAACAUAUCACCAUCCUUUUUCUUUUCUUUUGUUCUUUUUUUUUUUCUUCUGAGUCUAUACUUGUGGUUUCUGAAGUUAACAGAGAAAAGCAAUGUAUGACUCAGGCUAUUGAAGACCAUUAGAUUGACUCUGGGAUAAACAGGAUUUUGAUUUUGCCAAAGAAUCCAAAUGUGGGAUGCUCAGUCAUAAAUAGAACAUCUGUAUCACACCCUGUGGGGAAUCAUGAAGUUGGCUUGCCCUCGAGGUCAUGCUCUGAGGAAAGGCAUGCCUCAUAGGGUUUUCAGAUUAGUCCAUGGCUCCUGGGCCACUGUGCCUUUCAGUUCCUGAGAAACCAAGCCACUCCCUCAGGCCACUUUGUGUUCCUCUGUAUGUUCUCUUUGAAGACAAGGAAGCAUGGAAGGCUCACACGACACUUGGUCUUAGACAUUGAUCUUGUGCACCCUGCAUAGCUUGCAAUUGUCAUUGUAUCCCGGCAACUACAAUUGUAUUGAUCCUGACAAUCAGCACCAUAUUCUGUUUCUGAUAAGGGUAUAACAAAUCAAUAACAUUGUCACACCCUCAGUCUUGCUGUGACCUCUCCAACCU